rnacentral:ncRNA from 2 species
GACAUCGAGCACAACGUGGGUUUUCCGCGGUGUGCGAGAGGGAACCCGGUGAGAAUCCGGGACUGUCCCGCAGCGGUAUGCAGGAACGACCGCCGUCAACAGCACUGGUCACAGCACGCGACUGGGAAGCGACGGCCACUAGGAGCACCGUCGGUGCGCGCCUGCGAGUCCGAAGACCUGCCUGUUGUGCCGGGUGCGC